UAAUCUCACUACGAUCGACUUUUUGUCUUUCCGUACGUGGACUUGGAUGCUGCCGUGAUAUUCACGACUCGUCUGAAAUGCCUGAGUGUACCCCGAUUUGCGGCGUAUUCGGUGUGAUACAUCUUCACCGGAGUUGAUCCUUUUGGGUCGCGUCUGUAAUGGUGUGGCUCUAUGCUUCGAACCGUCUCCCAGAGACAACCUCUGACA
rnacentral:misc_RNA from 1 species